rnacentral:rRNA from 1 species
GUGCCUAAUACAUGCAAGUCGAACGCUUCUUUCCUCCCGAGUGCUUGCACUCAAUUGGAAAGAGGAGUGGCGGACGGGUGAGUAACACGUGGGUAACCUACCCAUCAGAGGGGGAUAACACUUGGAAACAGGUGCUAAUACCGCAUAACAGUUUAUGCCGCAUGGCAUAAGAGUGAAAGGCGCUUUCGGGUGUCGCUGAUGGAUGGACCCGCGGUGCAUUAGCUAGUUGGUGAGGUAACGGCUCACCAAGGCCACGAUGCAUAGCCGACCUGAGAGGGUGAUCGGCCACACUGGGACUGAGACACGGCCCAGACUCCUACGGGAGGCAGCAGUAGGGAAUCUUCGGCAAUGGACGAAAGUCUGACCGAGCAACGCCGCGUGAGUGAAGAAGGUUUUCGGAUCGUAAAACUCUGUUGUUAGAGAAGAACAAGGACGUUAGUAACUGAACGUCCCCUGACGGUAUCUAACCAGAAAGCCACGGCUAACUACGUGCCAGCAGCCGCGGUAAUACGUAGGUGGCAAGCGUUGUCCGG